UACGUAGGGGGCUAGCGUUGUCCGGAAUCAUUGGGCGUAAAGAGCGCGUAGGCGGCCAGAUAAGUCCGGUGUGAAAGUCACAGGCUCAACCUGUGAAUGCCGCUGGAAACUGUCUGGCUAGAGUCCGGGAGGGGCGAGUGGAAUUCCUGGUGUAGCGGUGAAAUGCGCAGAUAUCAGGAGGAACACCAAUGGCGAAGGCAGCUCGCUGGAACGGUACUGACGCUGAGACGCGAAAGCGUGGGUAGCAAACAGG
rnacentral:rRNA from 1 species